GUGAGGAAUAUUGGACAAUGGGCGCAAGCCUGAUCCAGCCAUGCCGCGUGCAGGAAGACGCAUCUAUGGUGUGUAAACUGCUUUUGUACGGGAAGAAACACUCCCUCGUGAGGGAGCUUGACGGUACCGUAAGAAUAAGGAUCGGCUAACUCCGUGCCAGCAGCCCCGGUAAUACGGAGGAUCCAAGCGUUAUCCGGAAUCAUUGGGUUUAAAGGGUCCGUAGGCGGUUUAAUAAGUCAGUGGUGAAAGCCCAUCGCUCAACGAUGGAACGGCCAUUGAUACUGUUAGACUUGAAUUACAAGGAAGUAACUAGAAUAUGUAGUGUAGCAGGGAAAUGCUUAGAUAUUACAUGGAAUACCAAUUGCGAAGGCAGGUUACUACUUGUGGAUUGACGCUGAUGGACGAAAGCGUGGGGAGCGAACAGGAUUAGAUACCCGUGUAGUCC
rnacentral:rRNA from 1 species